rnacentral:rRNA from 1 species
GGAAGAGUGAAUAUUAUUGGUUUAAUAGUUAAAUUUUUAAAAGUUUAUAAAAUAAUAAUUUUUAGGUGAAAUUUAUAAUUAUUAAUUAAAAAUUUAUAUUGAAGCUAUGAAAUUUAUAUUAAAAACAAGGAUUAGAUACCCUUUUAUUAUAAAUGUAAAUAUAAACCUGGGUAGUAUUAGUUAUGAUCUUGAAACCCAAAGGAUUUGGCGGUAUUUUAAUCUAAUCAGAGGAGCCUGUCCUGUAA